rnacentral:rRNA from 1 species
AGAAUGAACGUUGGCGGCGUGGAUUAGGCAUGCAAGUCGAACGGAUUUGGUAGCAAUACCAGGUCAGUGGCGUAAGGGUGAGUAAGGCGACGGCAACCAACCCCAUGGUUGGGCAUAGCCGCGGGAAACUGCGGGUAAUUCCCAGCGAUGUUCGUACCGGGCAUCCGGUGUGAACCAAAGUUCUGGCGCCGUGGGACGGGCCGUCGUGGUAUUAGGUAGUUGGCGGGGUAAUGGCCCACCAAGCCUCUGAUGCCUACCGGGCGUGCGAGCGUGGCCCGGCACACUGGGACUGAGACACUGCCCAGACUCCUACGGGAGGCUGCAGUCGAGAAUCUUCGGCAAUGGGCGCAAGCCUGACCGAGCGACGCCGCGUGGAGGAUGAAGGCCUUCGGGUUGUAAACUCCUGUCGAGGGGGAGGAAGGGGUAACCUUGACCUAUCCCUGGAGGAAGCACGGGCUAAGUUCGCGCCAGCAGCCGC